AGCAAUGCAAAGGAGAACAAUGGAAGUUUUGGGGAUUCAGUACCAAAGAGAAUGGUGUGACUGCCGCGUGCUCUGUGUCACAUCUCACUGUGCAGUAACAGACCAGAUCUCAUUGGGUACUUUUAGGGGAGUCUGGUUAUCGGAAGAUUUCAGUAGCACAAGAGCGCCACCAUUGCCCCCAACCAAGGUGGGGACGUUCUCUCCAAACUGUGCCUGGGUGUUGAUUUAUAAACAGCAGUGUGGACAACGAGUGCUAGUGAGAGAGAAGGUUACUGUUCCAGGUCCUCUACAAACAAGAGGCUCGUCGCCCAGGCUCUGUGAGAAGCAGUUGUGUCAGGCAGGAGUGUGGGUGAUUCUCAGGUUCCAUCGUACGGGCUUCAGUUUUAACAAGGAUGGAUUGUGAGAGCAUCAGGCAGCAGAAGAGACCUGGACUAGCCCACCAAGCCCUUUCUUGAUAGAGGUCAUACUAGAUGCACAAAACCCUGUUUCCAGAAUUACAGACAACUCCAGAGCUUCUGUGCGAGCCUCCGGUGUGUGAGCCUCGGUGCAAAAAGCCUUCCAAUCCCUUUGUACCCCUAAAACAAACUGGAGAAAGCUCUUUGGCCUGAGCCAACAAAGAAUUUAGAGUUCCUUUCUCCAGGCCUCCCACUGGGUUGCAGCAGCUCCUUCUGAACUAGAGACACACACUCCAGGAGAAAAAGAAACUCUGUAAGUCAGCAGACCAGAUCAACAGACCCCAUGCUGGGCUCAGGCAGUCACACCCCACCUUUCCCAACAAUGGGGAUGAGUAGCAGAAUUUGGUCCAUUAGUUUGUAUGGAGAUUAAAAAGAGACAAAGGGUUUCCAAAGAUGCUCUGUUUGACUGGAAUGCAGUAGACAGGGUUUCCACAGACUGUAGAUCGUACAAGAAAAGCCCAUUCCCUGACCCUGACACAGAAGAAGCCCCUACCAGGUUGACAGUAACCUGUGUGGCUGCUCCUGCUUCUAAUGAGGACAUCCCUUGACCAAGUGCACAGUGCACAGUGGCCCUCCGUCCUCCAUUCACUCACUGCCUAAAACCUCCUGUUUCCUGAUGGUUACACCUAGUAUAAUUUGGAAGUUGACUAGCCGGUGUUGAUGACAAGGUCAGCUUCAUCUGGCCCAAAGCUGCACAAUCCUGCUUCCGAGGCCAAGGUUCAUAGUGAGUUCCUACAAGAGCAGGGCUGUUAAAGAAAUUGAUCCUGCCACAUUCCACAAAAUCCAAAAGGAUGCUAGUCUUUUGUUAUAGGCCAGAGAAAACUCAUAGUUUUUAGUACUCUGGUGAGACAGGGGUUCCUUCAGCCAUCACGCAGCCCCCCCAUUGGUGUUUUCAACCCUUCAACACUGAUGGUUUUCCAUCAGAACCUAUUGACGCUCUUUAAAUUACUCUGUGUGGUAAACUGAGUCAUUUCCAGAGCCCUCUUCAGUGGGAGAGCAUGGAGAGCAUAGCAAACAGGCCAGCUGCACCCUGGUGUCACAGAGCAGCCAGUGCCUGAGAAGACAAGACCCAGCUGUAGUAGACCUCUGCGCCACGGUCCAGGUGUGCUGGUGGCUCUUCCAAGUACAGGCAAAAGUGUGAUGACUUUCUCUGUGUGGACGGUUAAAUGAGUAAUGCACGCCCCCCUUACCCCCGUGCCCCAGACUCUAGUAUUUGAACAUUUGAUCUGUACUUU
rnacentral:lncRNA from 1 species